rnacentral:rRNA from 1 species
UACGGGGGGGGUAAGCGUUGUUCGGAAUUACUGGGCGUAAAGGGCUCGUAGGCGGCCAACUAAGUCAGACGUGAAAUCCCUCAGCUUAACUGGGGAACUGCGUCUGAUACUGGAUGGCUUGGAUUUGGGAGAGGGAUGCGGAAUCCAGGUGUAGCGGUGAAAUGACGUAGAUAUCUGGAGGAACACCGGUGGCGAAGGCGGCAUCCUGGACCAAUAUUGACGGCUGAGGAGCGAAAGCCAGGGGAGCAAAGCGGG